rnacentral:misc_RNA from 1 species
GUGAAUCAUCGAAUCUUUGAACGCAUAUUGCGCCUGUCGCCUUCGGGCAAGGGCAUGUCUGCCUCAGCGUCUUUUCCACCCCUCUCCCCCCUUCCACAGGGGGAGGAUGUGGCCCUGUGCUGCUCAGGCACUUGGCCGAAAACCAGUGGCGUGCACGGGACCGCUUUAUGCGGGCUUCAGCUUGGUAGGCCUUCUCCCCGCAAGGGGGCAAAGCAUGCCGCUGUAGCUCGUGGACCCAUGUGCUGCCAAGCAGGGAACACCUUCAAUUUAGACCUGAGGUCAGGCAAGACCACCCGCUGA